rnacentral:rRNA from 1 species
GACGAGGGGUCCAAGCGUUGUUCGGAAUCAUUGGGCGUAAAGCGGGUGUAGGCGGCUCUAUAAGUCAGGAGUGAAAUCCCCGAGCUUAACUUGGGAAGUGCUUUUGAUACUGCAGAGCUUGAAUGUGGGAGAGGUUAGUGGAAUUCCAAGUGUAGUGGUGAAAUACGUAGAUAUUUGGAGGAACACCGGUGGCGAAGGCGGCUAACUGGCCCAACAUUGACGCUGAGACCCGAAAGCAUGGGGAGCAAACAGG